CGAGAAUGUUAAUGAACAUACUGAACACUCAAAUCUACAAAUGCAUUUCGUGCUUUUAGUAAAAUAGAAGGAAAAUGAUGUUGUGUUUUAAUUAAACAUAACGCAAAUUGCCGCCUAAAAUGUUUGCAAACACGCAAACCAUGCAGGUCAGUGUGAAUUUUAAAAUUUUGCCUGACCACAUGUAAUCACUACCACUGCAUAAUCCGAACUGAGAAACGGCAAGAAGGGACAAAGUAUAGUUUAUGAUACUUCAGUUAGAACAGACCGAAACCUGAGAAGUCCUUGAGAAACACAAACGUAAACAGUUCGAAGAAACAUCACACCGAGAUCAGAGAUGUAUAAUGGAUCACCUUUUGUGCUAUUUACGAUUUACAUAUAUUUUUCACGUUUGCCGAAGAAGUCGAAAUAAGAUGGAGGAUACAAAAUGCAGAUGAAACUUCAAACUUUCAAAGCAAUUCGAAGUUUCUAUCAGUGCCUGUGAUUGGUCAUUCCAUUAUGGCGUCCUCUUAUUUAGACCAAUCAGAUUCAUCGUUGAAAGGUGCGUUGCGCGGAGUGUGGUGGAGUGCAACAUUCCUCUUCGAAGCUUCGUCCGUUUGGCACGUGUCUGCAACAGGUGUACGUCGACCUUGAAGGAUUAAGUGCAUCAAUGGUUCAGUCUCUUUAGCAUUCAGAUUGCAUUGACAUCAGCUACCGCGUGGAAAUUCAAAGAUCCGACAACUCAAUUUGAAUAAAUUUCCCGGCCCGCUAUCGCACAGGCGAUAAAACUUUCUCGAGCAUAAAAUUAGCAACUAUAUCCGAUAUUUUACGACUUACCUUUU